AUCUAGCUGCAGAGUCCUAAAUAGGAUGAAACGCGCGUACUGGAU
rnacentral:hammerhead_ribozyme from 1 species